rnacentral:lncRNA from 1 species
AUGGAUCAGUGUGAGGACAGAGAGGAGGGAGUCCCUCCCUCUAAAAGCACUCUGUGUGGGGAACAUGACACAAGGACCAAAGCUCAGAGGAUCCAUCAGAGACCAGACUGUCCUGAACCUGAACCCAGCUGUGUGUCCAUGAAGAGUGAUGACUCUAUGGGUCGUUAUGAAGACUUCAAAGAUGGCCGCCACUCUGUUGAUCAAAGGAGGAAAAAACCUGAACCCAGCUGUGUGUCCAUGAAGAGUGACCGCUCUAUGGAUCAUCUUAUACACUUCAAAGAUGGCCGCCACUCUGUUGAUCAAAGGUGA